UAUUUAUUACCUAUAUGCAAAGCUGAUUUAUAUGGCUAUGUGCUUAUUAUAUCCCACCAGACAAGAAAACAGUGAUGUACCUAGAAAUCCAAUAGGAGGCAGGAAGAAAGUUGCCCUGGUCAAGAGUGCCAGGACAUGCAGAGCUCUGGACCCAGAGAAGGAAGCAUCUGCUCCACACAACCAUGUGAGGAGGUUCAGUGCUAAAUGAAUGAGUGUGAGAGUGUUCACAUACACAGACAGUGGGAUCAGAGCAGUGACCAUUCUCAGUGCUCAGGAGACCUUGUUUUGACAGACAGGCCAGAAAAAAGGAGACAGCAGACGAAAAGUAUGUAUCUCCUUUUUAAUAAGUCACAAAACAGGCAUGGACAACUUAAGCUGCAGUUAAAAUAGAAAAUAGAAGAUCAACACAAAAACAUUCUCAAUAUCUCCAGAGAAAAAAAUAAACUAACAGAUCAUUUUUAAUGUGCAUUAGACAGAAAAUUGCUCAAAACAAAACUGAAUCUCAACAGCAUAGUCUAAACAGGCUAAUUUUGACAGUUUUAGCAAGGAAGUAUCUUUGGGCUGUCCAAAAAUCAGAGUUCUAACAUGGCAUGGUGGGAUUAGAUAACUAUAAGUUUGCUCAAAGUGGCAAAGAGAACAUGAAAUAGUUGCUCUUUGUCUGAGCAUGCCUGUCACCAGAAGGGCUGGAGAGAGGAAUCAUCAUGAAAUUGUACUAGACAGAGUAUUUAAAUACCCUUAACAACUGGCAUGGGAUCAUAUUGGUAACUGUUUGUGACAGUGGCACUGCACAGUUUUGCUGAUCAGAAUAAUAACAUGCUAGCAACUGCAGAUUUUAAUUCCCCCCCACCAGUCCUGUCAGUGAUAUUUCCCCUUUCCCUCAUCUCCCAAGAUAAUGCUGUCACAUAACAGAAUUGCCAGAGUUGGAUGGGAGGUGCUUCUUUUCAUUUAGAGAAACUUCAAUAAUGUAGGUGAAGGCUAUCUGGGAUGGAUGGUGAGAUAUUUCUUUGGGAAAACACACCUUUUACAAGUUUUGUGAUUAAAGGAAAUAUCCUGAGAUGUCCAAAUGGAAACAAAUUUAUUGGCUGAAUAUUCACAGAAUUAUUAAAUGCAGAUAUAUCCUUUUUCCAUUCCAGUUUGUGUUAUAGCAGGUCACUUGCAUGAAAUCAGAAUUCUGCAGGAACACAGAGAACUGAGUUUUAGUCCUGUGUCUAGGGCUGUGAAAGAGCCACAAGUC
rnacentral:lncRNA from 13 species